rnacentral:rRNA from 1 species
GGACCCGCACAAGUAGUGGAGCAUGUGGUUUAAUUCGAAGAUACGCGCAGAACCUUACCAACACUUGACAUGUUCGUCGCGACUUUAAGAGAUUAAAGUUUUCGGUUCGGCCGGACGAAACACAGGUGCUGCAUGGCUGUCGUCAGCUCGUGUCGUGAGAUGUUGGGUUAAGUCCCGCAACGAGCGCAACCCUCACUUUUAGUUGCCAUCAUUAAGUUGGGCACUCUGAAAGAACUGCCAGUGAUAAGCUGGAGGAAGGUGGGGAUGACGUCAAGUCCUCAUGGCCCUUACGUGUUGGGCUACACACGUGCUACAAUGGUAUCUACAACAGGAAGCAAAACUGCGAGGUUAAGCAAAUCCUCAAAAGAUACCUCAGUUCGGAUUGCACUCUGCAACUCGAGUGCAUGAAGCUGGAAUUACUAGUAAUCG